GUUUAUCCCUGGUUUCUUUCCACUUGGACUGUCCUCGUGUUUACAUUGGAUGUAUGAAAUCAGGCGAAGUAUUCUCUGAACCGUGAGUUUCUCACCUCAAAAAGAGCCAAAAGUGGUAUGAACCGGAUUGGUGGAAGUUCGGUGACAAGAAAUCGUAUGACACUGAAAAUUAAUGUGAUUCAUCUGACUGAUACUUUCGCAUGCUUCAGCUUUGGCCAAGUUCAUAUCAAUAAACAGAUAUGUGCUACGCACUUAUGCACAUGACGAUGUCAGUGUAGGAUCCCGGUUCUUUGGUUGAUGAAGCAAAGUUUUGCUGCUCUCUCUCUCUCGCAGCAGUUAGUUGGACGUCGAUUUUAAUGUGCCGCUUGGACAAUACUGGGUUUGAUUCGCGGAUAUACUACAGAAAGUUGACGUGAGGAGAUGGUUCGCGGGAGACAUAGGACAGCCGUUAUACCGAUGCUCAAAUUUCGUAGGAUAAUCAUGCGAACCGAUGCGUAAGGCAAUUCUUUGAUUCGCAAGGAGGACGCGAUAAAUCCAAUCAUCGGCCCGUCACUGGUCCCAUCCACUCCAUGCCCGCCCAGCCCAGUAAGAUUAGGGGCUUGGUCCUUAUUUUAGCUCAUGGGCCGGGCCUGAUAAGAAGAGAGCCAGAUCAGCAUUUUGGUCUCCAGGCCCAGCCCAUUAAAAUUAAGGGCUUCGUAUCUAUUAUUAAGUCGCCAGCUCAGCCCAGUAAAUUAAGGGCAUGCUCUCUUAGUCUCUUAUAUUAACCCGUGGGCUGAGCCUGAUUGGGCGGCCCAACUAGUAGCCAAUAAUCUUUUGUAAACAUUCCCAUGAGUUCAGUGGGCUAGGCUGACACACUACGACUCACCCUAAACCCAGCCCACUUAAACUAAGGGCCUGGACCCUUACAUUAACCCGUGGGCGGGGAAUGUUAACGAGAAAGCCGUAAUCAAGUUAUAACCCACUCAAACUACGGGCCUGCACACCCUUAAAUUAGCCCUUGAACCAGCCUACUAAGAAGAAAGCCCGAUUUGUAGUUUAGAUGCUGUAGGCCGGGCCCGUUAAAAAGAAAGCCCAGACCAAGUUAAAGCCGGCCUGCACCCUUACAUUAACAUGUGGGCCCGGCCUGCUA